rnacentral:rRNA from 1 species
UCAGGACGAACGCUGGCGGCGUGCUUCAUACAUGCAAGUCGAACGAGAAGUCACCUUCGGGUGAUGGAAAGUGGCGGACGGGUGAGUAAUGUGUAGAGAAUCUGCCCUUAGUGGGGGACAACAGUUGGAAACGACUGCUAAUACCCCAUAUGCGCGUAGCUGAGAUGCUAUUCGUGAAAACUCCGGUGCUAAAGGAUGAGUCUGCAUCUGAUUAGCUAGUUGGCGGUGUAAUGGACCACCAAGGCGACGAUCAGUAGCUGGUUUGAGAGGAUGAUCAGCCACAAUGGGACUGAGACACGGCCCAUACUCCUACGGGAGGCAGCAGUAGGGAAUUUUGCGCAAUGGGGGAAACCCUGACGCAAGCAACGCCGCGUGAUUGAAUAAGCCCUUCGGGGUGUAAAGAUCUGUCAGUAGGGACGAAACUUGACGGUACCUACAGAGGAAGCAUCGGCUAACUCCGUGCCAGCAGCCGC